rnacentral:tRNA from 1 species
GCUCCCGUGGCGGAAUAGGUAGACGCACUCAGUUGAGGGCUGAGUUUUUUGUUGCAGGUUCGACUCCUGUCGGGAGUACCA